ensembl:snRNA U5 U5 spliceosomal RNA
AUACUCUGGUUUAUCUUCAGAUCAUAUAAAUCUUUUGCCUUUUACUGAAGAUUUCUGUGGAGAGGAACAGUUAUGAGUUUUUACCCAAGUUUUUGAGGUCUCUUGUUUAAUUUUAAGUU